GUGCUCGCUUCGGCAGCACAUAUACUAAAGUUGAAACAAUACAGAGAAGAUUAUCAUGGCCCUGUGCAAGGAUGACAUGCACAUUCGUGAAGUGUUCCAUAUCGUU
rnacentral:snRNA from 1 species